ACUAUUCUCUAUGAACUUUGUCUGAGUGAGGAGACCUCUUACAUCUUUGUCAGUGUUACGCAGGAUGCAGAGCGAGAGGAGUUCUACUAUGAAACUAGCAGACUAUGUGAUCUCAGGCUCUUUCAGCCUUUUCUGAAGGUAAUCGAACCCGUUGGCAACCGAGAGAAGAAAAUUCUGAACAGAGAAAUUGGAUUCGCAAUUGGUAUGCCUGUGUGCGAGUUUGACUUAGUAAAGGACCCUGAGGUGCAGGACUUCAGGAGGAAUAUUCUUAACGUCUGUAAGGAUUCAGUAGAAUUCCAAGAUGUCAACGGACACCAUAGUUGAGCUUUAUAUGUUUACCCUCCCAACGUGGAAUCGACACAAGAACUUCCAAGCACAUCCAUGGCAAACUGGAAAAAGGCAUUAUUGUAUCAAUUAAAAUCAAGCAAAGUGAUUGUAAUGUCAUGAUGCUGCAAGAUGCCUAAGGUCAAAUCAUUGUAGUGAUCUGGGUGAUCAUCUCUGACAACAACGACAAGCAGAAAUACACCCUGAAGAUCAACCAUGAUUGUCUGCAAGAACAGGUGAUAGCCGAGGCCAUUAGGAAGAAAACCAGGAGCAUGCUGUUGUCCCCUGAACAACUCAAGAUGUGUGUGCAGGAGU